AAAUGCGUCACAGUAAUAUUGGAAAAUGAAUGAUUUUCAUUUUUAUAAUUUGUGAUAGGUUUGUCUCUUCAGAGGUAUUGAAUGCUAUAAUUGAAUAUACCAAGCUACAUCGUGGAGGAAUGCGGUAAAAGUUAUUUAAAAGUAUCUAUGCUUCAGCAAGAUGCAGUUGUGGCAAUCGAUAUAUUUGCAUCUCUUUGUAUGUGUUCUGGAAAUUGUGUCAUCAACAGGACAAGUUACAUUUGGAUUCCAAAGUUCAACCUACACCGUUGGUGAGGCAGAUGAUAAAUUGCAGGUUUGUCUUGGUGUUAGCAAUUUUGAUGGGACUUCCUUUUCAGGAACAUUAACAUUCAGAAAUGGCACUGCAACAAGCGGAGAAGAUUACAAAGUUUUAGUAGGUGAUGAGAAAUCUGUUGGAAUACAAAGUUUUAUUCA